UCGCACGAGAAAGCGGGAGCAAUCUCGCAAGUAAAGUGGCGUACGGGUGAGUAACACGUGGAUCAUCUGCCCUGGAGUGGGGAAUAACGCUGGGAAACCGGCGCUAAUACCGCAUAUACCCGAGAGGGGAAAGCAGCAAUGCGCUCGAGGAGGAGUCCGCGGCCGAUUAGCUAGUUGGCAGGGUAAAAGCCUACCAAGGCAGAGAUCGGUAGCCGGCCUGAGAGGGCACACGGCCACACUGGCACUGAAACACGGGCCAGACUCCUACGGGAGGCAGCAGUGGGGAAUCUUGCACAAUGGGGGCAACCCUGAUGCAGCGACGCCGCGUGAGCGAUGAAGCCCUUCGGGGUGUAAAGCUCUUUCGGCAGGGAAGAUAAUGACGGUACCUGCAGAAGCAGCUGCGGCUAACUACGUGCCAGCAGCCGCGGUAAUACGUAGGCAGCGAGCGUUGUUCGGAGUUACUGGGCGUAAAGGGUGUGUAGGCGGUUCUUUAAGUUUGGUGUGAAAUCUCCCGGCUUAACCGGGAGGGUGCGCCGAAUACUGAGGGACUAGAGUGUGGGAGAGGAAAGUGGAAUUCCUGGUGUAGCGGUGAAAUGCGUAGAUAUCAGGAGGAACACCGGUGGUGUAGACGGCUUUCUGGACCAUAACUGACGCUGAGACACGAAAGCGUGGGUAGCAAACAGGAUUAGAUACCCUGGUAGUCCACGCCCUAAACGAUGCAUA
rnacentral:rRNA from 1 species